rnacentral:rRNA from 1 species
AUUGAACGCUGGCGGCAGGCUUAACACAUGCAAGUCGAGCGGGGUGAUGGUGCUUGCACUAUCACUUAGCGGCGGACGGGUGAGUAAUGCUUAGGAAUCUGCCUAUUAGUGGGGGACAACAUCUCGAAAGGGAUGCUAAUACCGCAUACGUCCUACGGGAGAAAGCAGGGGAUCACUUGUGACCUUGCGCUAAUAGAUGAGCCUCAGUCGGAUUAGCUAGUUGGUGGGGUAAAGGCCUACCAAGGCUACGAUCUGUAGCGGGUCUGAGAGGAUGAUCCGCCACACUGGGACUGAGACACGGCCCAGACUCCUACGGGAGGCAGCAGUGGGGAAUAUUGGACAAUGGGGGGAACCCUGAUCCAGCCAUGCCGCGUGUGUGAAGAAGGCCUUAUGGUUGUAAAGCACUUUAAGCGAGGAGGAGGCUCUUUUGGUUAAUACCCAAGAUGAGUGGACGUUACUCGCAGAAUAAGCACCGGCUAACUCUGUGCCAGCAGCCGCGGUAA